UACGGGGGGAGCAAGCGUUGUUCGGAUUUACUGGGCGUAAAGGGCGCGUAGGCGGCCAGCGCAGGUCAGUUGUGAAAUCUCCGGGCUUAACUCGGAACGGUCAACUGAUACUGCGCGGCUAGAGUGCAGAAGGGGCAACUGGAAUUCUCGGUGUAGCGGUGAAAUGCGUAGAUAUCGAGAGGAACACCUGCGGCGAAGGCGGGUUGCUGGGCUGACACUGACGCUGAUGCACGAAAGCCAGGGGAGCGAACGGG
rnacentral:rRNA from 1 species